GAUGAAGAACGUAGCGAAAUGCGAUAAGUAAUGUGAAUUGCAGAAUUCAGUGAAUCAUCGAAUCUUUGAACGCACCUUGCGCUCCUUGGUAUUCUGAGGAGCAUGCCUGUUUGAGUGUCAUGAAAUUCUCAACCUUUCUGGCUUUUGCUAGUCAGGCUUGGAUUAUGGGAGCUGCUGGCUUUUGAAGUCGGCUCUUCUAAAAUGUAUUAGCAAGAUCAUUGCUGCUCAUCAUUGGUAUGAUAAUUAUCUAUAUCAUUGAGAGUCAGUUUCCUUUAUUGGAAGAUUUUGCUCCUAACGGUCUUUAGCAAGACAACAUUUGACGAUUUUGACCUCAAAUCAGGUAGGACUACCCGCUGAACUUAAGCAUAUCAAUAAGCGGAGGA
rnacentral:misc_RNA from 1 species